ACUGAGAAUUUUGAGGUCUUGUCAAGCAUUGACGGUUCAAUGGGGGGAAAUCUCCAUAUAGUGAAUUAUUGUUUUUGACUAGAUGAUUAUAGCCUUUAGCAGAUUGCAAAGUCUUUCGGUCUUCAAGUUGAAGCCAUCAAAUUUCUGAAGUCUUUAAGUUGAAUCUUCAAGUUAAAGUCUUCAAAACCAUCAAGUCUCCAAGCUGAAGUCUCCGAAUUUGUCGAAGUCUUCAUGUCUGCCAAGUCUUUAAUUUGAAAUAUUCAAAACUGCCAAUUCAAGUUAAAGCCUUUAGAUCCACUAGUAACGACUCGACCAAAUGUAAUGAGUAUUUUAGCCCCGUUUUCCCUAUAUAAUGCUUUACUUAUGUGUAAUUUUGAUCACGUGACUUACCAGGGUGGUUUUUUUGGUUUCAGAGAGGUGUUGAAGUGAAUUGGGAUACUUAGUCCUAAGGUUGGAAACUUAAGUUGUAAGAGUUGACUAGAGUUAACUUUUGCAUAGAUGAAUCUAGAAUGGUAUUUUGAUGGUUCCAAUAGCUUCAUAUGACGAUUUUGGACUUAGGCGUAUGUCCGGAUUUAGAUUUGGAGGUUUGUAAGUUGAUUUGGUGCAUUUUGGCGAAUGUUGGAAAGUUGAAGGUUUAGAAGGUUCAGAGGUUUGACCAGGAGUUGACUUUGUUGAUAUCAGAUUUGAAUUAUGGUUCCGAGAGUUAGAAUAGGCCCGUUGUGUCAUUUGGGACUUGCAUGAAAAAUUUGAUGUCAUUUCGAGUUGAUUUGAUAUUGCUCGGCAUGAUUUUGGAAGUUGAACGUUCAUUAGUUCAUUAGGCUUAAAUGGAGGUGCGAUUCAUAGUUUUGAUGUUGUCUUAGUUCAGAGGCAGUUUUCAUUUUGUGCUUCGCAAGCGCGAGACACAUGCUAUGUUCGCAGAGGGUAUGUCUCGGCAAAUCUUAAAUAUUCUAUUUUCGAGGAUUUUGGUUAUUUUAUCACAUUUUGUUAUCUAAAGCUUGGAUUUAGGCGAUUUUGGAGGGAAUUUUCAUGAUUUGGAUUGGGGUAAGUAUUUUUGACUCGGAUUUGUUAUAGUCCAUGAUUCCAACCUUGAAUUUAGCGAUUGUUUGAUGAAUCAAAUUUAAAAAAAUGAGGGAUUUAGUAAAAACUUUUCUAAAUAAAAUUUAAGGAUUUGAACCUCGAUUCAGAGUCAAAAUUAGAUGAAAUUGGUAUGGUUGGAUAUAUAUUUGAAUGGGUGACCAGAAUUUGUGAGUUUUAUCGGGUUCCAUGAUGCGAGCCCGGGGUUUACUUUCUAGGUUGACUUGGCAUAAUUGAUUCAAGGUCUUAGCUUUAUUAUUUGGAAUUACUUCCUAUGGCUUUUAUUGAUGAUAUUAAUUUGUUUUGGCUAGAUUCAAGUCGUUCGGAGGUCGAUUCGCAUGGAAAGGAUUUUUGGAGUAUUUAUUCUCAUGUUUUAAGGUAAGUAACAUAUUUAAACUUAGAUUUAAGGGUAAUUAUCCCUGAGAACUAUGAUAUUUGAGAUGUGUAGGGGGUAACACACGUGCUUGGUGAUGAGCGUGUGUGCGUGCACGGGAUAUUCAUGAUACAGGUAGAUUUUAGACUAUUAUGAGACUUGUUUGCUAUCAUUCCUCGUUAUGCUCAUGUUUCUCGAACAUAAAUCAUGUCUAGGCUAUGUGGUUAUUUGUUUGAGAAAUGCUAGGGCUACUCUUGUUAUUUUGAGCUAUUUGUGUUAAUUGUAAAGAUACUCUCAGUCAAGAUGCUACAUCCGUGUAUGAUAUCUCUAUCUCAGUGUAUUUUAUUUUUGAUUUCUCACACGUUAUUGAUGGCUCACAGGUGUAUAACUGUUGAACUGAGUACUGUGAGAUGUGGUUAAUUGAGACUUGAGCCGUUGAUGACUGAGCUUGGGCCAUAUAGCCGAUUUGGUAUUGAUUUUGAGGUAAUGCGUAUGCUAGGCCCAUAUUGGGCUAAGUGGAACGGACUAGGGCAACACGUGCACCAGGCCCCAUGAUCAGGUUAUGUGAUAUUAAUUAGAGCUUGGGCAAGGAUCCGCUCCUUCGGAGUCUGAUAUUCAUAGUGAGCGCAGGCACAUGACUAUAUAUGUGUUUUGGUGAGGGGCAUUUGUGCCAGACAUCCAUACAGUGUUGAGUAUGGUUGUGGGUGUGAUGGUAAGGAGCAUUUGUGCCAAGCACAGUGAGCGUGUUGAGUGUGAUUAUACUUGAUGGCUUCAUUGUGAUGUUAUUGACUUGAGAUGUAGGUAUAGAGAUGUAUUUUCCUCAUGCUAAAUGGUAAUUGAAAUGUCUUAUAUGUUAUUGGAAGUUGGAAGAACCACAAUUUUCCUUGAUAAAUUUAUGUAUUAGUGUUUUCAGUGAAAGAUUAAACUUGUCUGUCAUACUUGGAAAGCAUGCCUAUAUUUUUCUAUAUUUGUGAACGAGAUGAACAUGAUAUUGUUGAGUUAUUUACUUCUACUGUUUUCAUUAUAUUCUGAGUUAUUAUUGAUUAUUGGUGUGGGACAUUAAUUAUUCAUUACUUAUUGAGUACAUGGGGUUAGUUGUACUCAUAAUGCAGUCUGUACCUCAUAUGUAGAUCCAUGUACUUCAAAGUGAGGUGGUUACUAGAGUUCACACCGAUACCAGCUUGUAAAGACUAAUAGGUAGCUGUUAUGUCAUUCGUAGGCUUUGAUUUUCUCUUCCUUUAAUUUUUGAUAUCAUUAUUCUAUUGUUCAGACAUUUUGUAUUGAGGAUUUGGCCAUGUAUUUUGAGAUUUUGUAGUGCUCAUGUACUCAUUGACACCAUAUCAUUGGGAUGGUUAUAGUAGUGUUAUCGUUGUUCUUUCUCAGAUAUUUCAUGAUAUUUCUGUUGUUGAGAUUAUUCAAUUUCGUUUAUUGAGUUUAUUGUUAUUGUGAAAUUAUUAGCUUGCUUAGCAAACAAUGUUAGGCACUAUCACGGCUCUUGUGGGAGUUUGGGUCGUGACAAGUUGGUAUCAAAGCCGUAGGUUGCCAAGGUCUCAUGAGUCAUGAGCCAGUUUACAUACGGAUAGGUACAGAGACGUAUGUGCUUAUCUUCGAGAGGUUAUCGAACUAUUAAGAAACUUCAUUUUCUUGCAUCCUUGUCAUGCAGAUUUGUUAAUUCCGAAGUCUGAACUUUUACUCUUCUAUUCUCUUACAGAUGGUGAGGACACAUUUAGCUGAUUAGGCACCAGUGACACCAGUGAGGGCCGCAAGAAGCCGGGGGCAAGGUGGGGCUCACACUACAUCUAGAGAAGCACUUAUACAGCCAUCAGUUGCUCUAUUGUCACACCCUAACCUUGGGAAAUAUGACUGGCACACGCUGCCCGAAGGCCCGUGCAAACCAACAUCCAUAUUUAGACCCCUUCAACAUAAAACUGUGCCAAUAAGGCCUCCCAAUAUAAUAUCAAAACAUAAAAGGUUCACAACUGACUGUGGAAUAAGCUUUUACAUUUUAGAUACACACCACCAUUUCUAACUAAGUCAUUUCAAUAUUUACAUACAUUUGAACACUGGUCUGCAAGUUUCUAAGAGUACCAUAACACAUAACAUGGUUGGGACAGGGCCCCAUCAUACCCAAAAUGACUGGUACAUACUCUUUAGUACCUAUCGACUUCUGAACAGCUACUCUAGAGAUAAGGACUACGACAAGCAACAGCUGAGACGUGCACCCUACUGGGAGGGACAUCACCGGGUCUAUCUAUACCUGUGGGCAUGAACACAGUGCCUAAAGAAAAGGGUGUCAGUACGAAAGAUGUAUUGAGUAUGUAAACCUAGUAAUAUAUGUAAACCAAGGACAUAACAUAAGGGAUAUAAGUACACAAUUUCAAACUGAAGACCGAAGACAAUCCACCGGGGUGUACACUGUGGUAACAAUGAAUCAUAAAUGUAUGCAGUUUGUAAAGGCGAGGCCACUUAUUGGGCAUAUGCAUUAAAUGUAAUUUUAACAGUAUUCACCCACUUUUUGUGGCAUAUUGUCUCAUGUCGUACCCGGCCUCAUAGAGGACUUGGUAAAGUCUCAUGCUCUUAUCACAUCAUUCCCGGCCUCAGGAAGUCUCGAUUGUACCUGGUCUUAACAGAACUCGGCAUAACAAGCCUCAAGAGGACUCAGUCGUACCCGUCCAUACAAGGGCUCGGUAAUAUCUCAUAUCACAUCACUCCUUACCUUGCCUCGUAGUGCAUUUGGUCGUCCGGACUCAGUACUUCUCGACUACACCCGACCUCAACAAGACUUGGCAUAGUCGGCCUUAAGAGGACUCAGUAGCCUCACAUCAGACAUCAUCAUACCCAACUGAUCUAUGGUUGCACAAUAGGAUCCGUACNNNNNNNNNNNNNNNNNNNNNNNNNCUUCAGAAUGAACCAUAUUUUUCAACCUCAAGAUACUAUAUGGGGACAUCUCAGACUGGAAAAAAAUACUAUCGGCAAAGAAUGUACAAGAACUGGAGCAACAUUAAUAAGAAGAGUUUAGAACAACUCAAUUUUUCAAGAUAGAAAUCUUUCAAAAAGAGACGCUUACAUCAAGUGAUGUCAAGAAAACAAGUUACCUUACAUACCUAACUAGCUACACUUCCUAGGUUUUUACAGUUUUGUGGUGAAUAACUCCAUCUCUAAUGAAUCUCCAAGAAUUAAUUUUACAAGAUAACAUAUAUUACAAUGAUGAUGUCGAGCUUCUUCACGCUAAAUCCUACUAUGUUUGCCUUUGAUUUAGCCUUAGACUAUUUAGGAAUUCUCAAAGGAAUUUGAGAGAAUUUUGGGUGAUCUAACAUUGGUGAUAUCUCCUAGAAUGAAGGAGAGAAGAGUCAUUAUGCCGUUUAUACAAGAUCUAGGAAAUUCUGGACCCAAAUGCUAAACGGGUCCCCUCGCAUUAUCUUUUGCGCCUAGUGGGACAGUUGGCGCAAUUUGGUCAAAUAAAACUGCCUCUUGUCCUUAUGAUGUGCCGCUGGUUUAUUAAUUGUUUCAAAACCUCAUUAAUCUCCAACUUCAUAGGUGGGUAAAAAGCAUGGGGUGUAACAUCAUCCUCUAUUUGGAACAUCCUUCCUCGAAUGUUGAAACGUAGUCAUUCCUUCGAAACUUCUUGAGUCGUUUUGGGUUGUGCCCGUUAUAGUAGUCUCAUUGUUACCUCCUGUAGUAUGGAAUAAAUGGGGGUACCUGGAUUUCAAAUCUUCUUCAGCUUCCCAUGUUAUUUCUUCUAUAUUAUUGUUCCUCCGAAGUACUUUAAUUAAAGCUACCUCUUUGAUCAGUAACUUAAGAACUUGACGAUCUAGGAGAGCCAUCAGGAUUUCUUCGUAAGAUAGGUCCUAUGUGACUCGAAUAUCUUCAAUAGGGUCAACAUGAGAGGGAUCACCCGAGCCCUUAUGAAGCAUGGACACAUGGAAUACCGGAGAUUUUUGCGAUAUUUGCUCCCUUCUUGCUAAUUUAAAUGCUUAAAUCAUAUUGGUACUCGAUGAAGGAAUUGUAAAAGGUCGAAUUUCAUUCACUUGAGUUUUGGAAAGGUUACUUGACCAUUAAUGAGAAAUGAUGUUUCCUUGAAAAUUAUCCUCUUAAUAAUCUUUGAAUCGGUUAUUUAUAAAGUAUUUUUUCUUCUUGUGGAGCGGGCCGAACGACUCAAUAAUAGAAUAGAUGCAUCUAUAAUUAGCCUAUUAAUAAUCUUUGAAUCGGUUAUUUAUAAAGUAUUUUUUCUUUUUGUGGAGCGGGCCUAACGCCUCAGUAAUAGAAUAAAUACAUCUAUGGUUCAUACCUUUCGACCCUCGGCAGUGCACAUUUUAUAUAUUUGUAUAUUGGAUCUGGUCGUACGAUCUCGGCAUAAUUUGUGCGUAAUAAAUUCUUGGAGCCCCAUUUAUAAUUAAUAUUGUUUUGAUUGGCUUGAGAACUUAAUUCGUUAAAUGAUGAAAAUUAAUUUGGAAUUUACUAUUUGUGAAAGAAUUGUUCAUUUAUUUCUUAUUAUUGAGUUUUCAGCUAUAUUUAUAUAGUCCAUGCUUAAUUAUAAUUGUCACGACCCUAAUCUUGGACCCGAUCAUGAUGGCACCUCUUAUGAAGACAAGGCCAGCCGAUACUUUUUCAUUUCAAUUUUAAGCAAUUAAACAAUAAGAAUUAAGUCUAAAAUGUAGUAAAUAAUCCAAAAGUAAGCAGUGAACAUUACAGUUUGCGGAAGUAAAACCCAACACAGCCCGAUAUCGGGGUGUCACUAGUCAUGAGCAUCUAUCAAUACUCUACAAGUCUAAAAUGUUUACCAAGCUAUUAUAGAAUAAUUGAGAAAGAGGAAGAAAUGAGAUAAAAGGGGAGAAGCACGGGACUGCGGACGCCAAGCAGCUAUCUCCUGAACUCCGAAAUCUGUCGGGAGUUCUCAACCCUCGCUGGCAGGAUCAGCAAUGCCUGAAUCUGCACACGGGGUGCAGGGAGUAAAGUAAGUACUCCGACUCAGUGAGUAAUAAUCAUAAAUAAGGACUGAAAGCAAGAAAUCACGUAAGGCACAUUAUAGGUUAUACAGAAGCAGUAAAAGCCAGUAAAAACAGUAACGCAGUGAUAAUGUGUAAAGUCAUUUUAAUUCAGUUCAAACUUCAUGAAAUGUCUUUUUAACAAUUAAGCAAGUAAAUAAUAGACAAAUAAGAUAGAUAAGCACAUAAAGGAUUGUCCCUCAGGCACAAUGUCAAUAAUACCAACCCCUCAGACUAUAUCUCAUAUCACAAUGGGUACCCGCGCUCACUGGGGGUGUGCAGACUCCUGGAGGGGCCCCUUACGGCCCAAGCGCAAUAUCAAGCCAUCUCGUGGCAUCAUUACUAGGCCCUCGGCCUCAUAUCAACAAGCCAUCUCAUGGCGUAUAAAUCUCAGGCCCUCGGCCUCAUAAUCAUAAUCAGUGUUUCCUCACAACAUAAGCCCUCGGCCUUACUCAAUCAGAAUCUCACAGCCACUCGGGCAAUAGUAAAACAUAGUGCUCAGCCCAAAAUAUCAUUUAAAAUAUCAUUUAAGUGUUAAAGUAGAGUAAACAUGGCUGAGUUAUGAAAAACAAUAGAAUAUAGCAUGACUGAGUUCAAGUAUAAAGUCAAAACAGUGAGGAAAUAUCAAUAAAAACACCCUAAGGGUUCAAAUAGUUGGCACGAAGCCCAAAUAUGGUAUUCAUCCCAAAACAUAAUGAUUGAAAAUAGUUUUCAGUCAAAUACCCGGUAAAAUAGUCAUUUAGGACGGACUAAGUCACAAUCCCCAACAGUGAACGACCCCACGCUCGUCAUCUAGGGUGUGCGUCACCUCAAUAUAGCACAACGAUAUACAAUCCGGGGUUUCAUACCCUUAGGACAUCAUUUACAAUCAUUACUCACCUCGAUCCGGUCCAAACUCUAGCCUGCGAUGCCUUUUCCCUCAUGAAUCCACCUCCGGAUGCUCCAAAUCUAGCCACAAUCAGAACAUAACCAUUAAAAUAUGCUAAGGGAACAAAGCCCACUUGAAAAUAUCCCAUUUACAUAAAAAAUCUCGAAAUUGCUCAAACCCGGCCCCCAGGCCCACAUCUCAGAAUCCGACAAAAAUCACAUCAAUAUAAUCCUCAUCCUCCCACGAGUCUAUACAUAUCAAGAACAUCAAAAUCGGACCUCAAAUGGCCCCUCAAAUCUCCACUCAAGUGUCUCUUAAUCUCAAGCCCUAAUUACCCAUUUUUGCUACUGAUUUUCAAUGGAUUUCAAGCUUACAAAUGUUAAAAUUCAUCAUAGAAACAAGUUUAGGGUCUAAAAAUCUUACCUCCAUGAAACCCUCUUGAAUUCCCUCUUCAAUUAGCUCUCCAAAGCUUUCUCCCGAAUGAAAUAUGGUGAAAACCCACUCAAAAUCGCGAAGGGAACCUUUUAUACUUUCUGACCUAGGCAUUUUCGCACCUGCAGUCCAGUUCCCACUUUUGCGGUAUCUCUUCUACGACCAAAUUCACCGCAUCUGCAGUUUUCAUUAAAUUGCCCAUUUCCGCAUCUGUGGUAAAAAACUCGCACCUUCGCUAUCGCAGAUUCGCCCACUUCACCGCUUCUGCGGUUCCUGAAGAACUUCCUCUCGGCCGCAUCUGAGACUUCCUUCCGCUUCUGCGAUCAUCGCACUUGCGGCCUCCCAACCGCAGGUGCGGUUAUGACAGAAACCAAAUGCUUCAGCUACAAAACUCCAAUCCAAAUUUUUCCGUCACCCAUCCAGAAUCACCCCGAGGCUCCCGGGACCUCAACCAAAGGUACAAAAAAGUCACAUACCACCAUUCAAACUUGUACCAAUCUUCAAAACAUCUCAAACAACAUCGAGUCACCCAAAUUACAUCGGAUUCAAGCCGAACUUCCAAAAAAUUUUGAAUUAUGCUUUCGAUCAAAAAGUAUACCAAACCACGUUCGAAUGACCUGAAAUUUUGUACGCACAUUCCAAAUGCCACCACAGAACUACUGCAACUUCCGGAAUUCCAUUCCGACCCCUAUAUCAAAAUCUCACCAAUCAACCGAAAAACGCCAAAAUCUCAAUUUUGUCAAUUCAAGCCUAAACCUUCCACGUACCUCCAAAAUGCAUUCCGAUCUCGCUUCUAAGUCCCAAAUCACCUAACGGAGCUAACCAAAUCAUAAAAAUUCCGAUCCGAGAUCAUAUACCAAAAAGUCAAAUCUUGGUCAAACCUUUCAAAUUUCAAGCUUCAAAUUGAGAAUUGUUCUUCCAAAUUCAUUCUGAUUACCCUGAAAACCAAAACCGACGAUUUACAUAAGUCACAAUACAUCACAUGGGGCUAGUCAAGCCUGAAAACUAGCGAGCGAAGUGCAAAAGCUCAAAACAACCGGUCGGGUUGCUACAAUAAUUUUAGUAUUUUAUUGUUAGCCCAUAGUAAGUAUCGAAGUCGACCCCUCGUCACUACUUCUUCGAGUUUAGACUAGAUACUUACUGGGUACAUGUAGUUUAUGUACUCACGCUACACUUCUACACUAAAUGUGAAGUAUCUUAGGCAGGUGCAUCUGGAUAUCAAUCUGACGCGCAUCCUUGAUUUCACGAGAUUUUGCGGUGAGCUGCCUUCCGAGACCUUCUAUAGCAGCCGAAGUCUUUCUUUUACUUUUACUUUCUGUCUAUUUCACUUCAGACAGUAGUGUAGUAUUCUUUUAUAUAUUCUACUAGUAGCUCAUACACUUGUGACACUAGGUCUUGGAGAUUUAUGCUAGUAGACACUUGAUGACUUUUGGGUUAUGUUACUUAUCUCAUUUGCUCUUAAAAUUAGCUAUCUCUCAUCUUAUUAAGUUUUUACUUCCUAUUUAUGCACUAAUUAAAAAUCAGCUAAUUUAAAAAUAUUAAAAUAAUAAAUCAUGUUGUUAGUUCAUUGUUGGCUUGCCUAGCGGUAACGUUGGGCACCAUCACGACCUAUAGGAGAAAUUAGGUUGUGACAAACAAAGUCAAUCCCAGGCUCACGUGCCCGGAUUUUAAAAAUUUUCGAAGAUAAUUAUUACCCAUAGCAUCACAAAACAAAAUAUAUAAUUUAUUCCAGAUUCCAUGUCCAAUUUUGUGGUCAAAAUCCAAAAAUAUUAUUUCUAUGUUUUCUUCUAAAAUUCCAUAAUUUCUCCCAAUUUUUAUGUUAAAAUCUAUAUAUAAUUUAUGUAUUUAACUUAAAACAAGUGGGAAUAACUUAGCUCAUGAUAGAUGAUGAAAUUGGCUCCUCUAAAUUUCCCAAAACGCCCAAACAAGAGAGAAAUGAGCAAAAAUCCUGACUUGCCAACCUAUACACUACCCAAGCGACCCUUCAUCGCAUACAUGACAUGUUUGUCGCCUUAGCGAAGCACACCCAACUCCUGCUACAAAACUCUUUUUCGCGAAAGCGAGAAACAACUCGCAAAUGUGAUGCUUUAUCCGGCUGUCCCUUCGCGAACGUGACCAUGCCUCCGCGAAUGCGAAGGCCAAGACUCCAGGCCCAACUUUCCCUUUGCGUACGCGAUAAGGCUAUCGCGAACAUAAAGAACCACUGCCAAAACCUUCACGAACGCGACUGGACCAUUACGAACGUGAUCAACAAAAGACCUCAAGCUUAAAUCUAUUCAUGUUCGUAUGCUCCCCAUCACAUUCACGACGGACAACACCAGAAACCAGCACCAACAACUGCAAAACUCCCAAAGUUGGUCUGAAACCAUCCCAAAACACACCUGAGGCCCCUGGGACCCCGUCUAAUCAUACCAACCAGUCCCAAUACCUUAUCCACACUUAUCCAAAGGCUCAAAAUGCCAUAAAUAACAUCAAAAUUACGAAUCAACAAUCAAAAUCCUUCUUUUAACUUUCAAGCCUUCAAACUUCGUAGAACGCAUCUGAAUCACACUUAGACAUAUUGGAUCAUGACUAAACUUUACAUAUAAGUUCCAAUAAAUAAAAUGAACUUAUCCAAGGUCCCGAAACACCGCUCGUAGUGCAAUAAUAGCAAAUUACACUCUAAGACAUACUUAGCAAAUUUUGAAACCUUAAUAAUGCAAACUUUUGAUAAUAAUUGUUGAAUCGCUCCCAAACCAUCCGACACGCAAUCUGAACAUACGCCUAAGUCAAAAAUCACCUUACAAACCUAUAGGAACCUUGAAAUCAUGAUUCCGAGGUCAUUUACUCAAAAUUCAAACCUUGAUCAACUCUUCCCAUUUAGAGCUUCCGAAUUUAGAAUUAUUCUUCCAAAUCUACUUUGAACUUCUCAAAAAUCGAAACCAAUCACACGUGCAAGUCAUAAUACAUAAAGUGAAGCUACUCAAGGUCUCAAACUACAUAACGACAUGCUAGAGCUCAAAACGACCGGUUGGAUUAUUACAAUAGGAGGCUUCAAUACAUAAGAUUUCAUCAUUCUUCCAAAUUCAAUACGAGAGUUGGGAUUGUAAUGUUAGAUUAAUUUUUUCUUAUUCUUUAAAUCUAUUUAUGAUGACUUUCUCCAUAUCUCUGGAGUAGUUUACCUUAGGGUUUGACAUGAGUUGAUGACUUGGUUGUUGUUUAUGGAUUUGAUUAUUGUGUUAAGUACUUGAAUUUGUUGGAGGAGUUUUAAUCUUAGUUGUGAUUUCAUUCAUUAUCUUGUUUAAUCAGAAGAGGAACAAAAUAUUGAAUAUUGUUGCAAUGCAAGCGUUAAUUUAUUUUAGUGGUUCUUUAAAGUAAUUGAAGGGGCUUUGUGAUCCAUUAUUUGAAUUAAGAUUAAGAAAUAUUCGUGUGAAGUUUCUAUUAGAUCAUUCCUACUAAUAGAUUCUUGCAUGUUCACCGUACUUCACAUUAGCUUAUUUGAACGACUUAGGUUAAUCGAGAGAGGAAUUUGAAUCAGAAUAAUAAGAUAAUAACAUGUUGAAUUCGUGAGAAUAAAUGAAACUUUAAGAGUGAAAUUUAACAAUAUCAAAUCCAAGAUAGCAAUCGCGCACCUAUUAUGUCAUGACCCUUAUUUCUCGCACUGAUAAUAACCUAAGUUUGCUACUCUCUAGUUCACUGUGAUCAAGUAUUACUUGCUAUAGUUUUAGUUUGUUAGUUUUAGAAUUAAUCAUUCCAAAUUAAAGUGUUAAAAUUCAAUCCCUGUGGAAACGAUAUUUGCUAUACAAUCUUUGGUUAGUGUGCAUCAAUUUUUGUGUUGUAUUUUACGCUCGUCACAUAUACAAAGAGAUAAUUGAAUUUUGUUUUAUCAAAUCCCCAAAAGAGGAGAUAAAUUGAACUGUUUGGGAAUAAAUAUAAUAUUUGCUACAUACAGUUUAGUUGGUCAAUGAUUUCAUAUUCAAAUUUAUAGGAUUGCAUAUUAUUUUUGUAAUUUGAUUGGAUCUCCUAUAAUGCAUACUAAUAAUUGAUAUAACUACUUACCUAAUAAUCAACACUACUAACUUAAAAAUUAUGUUCCAUAAUUACUAUAAAAGUAAGAGCUUUCUUGCAUCUACAAGCACUUCAAUAGAAAAAACUAAGAAAAAAACAAAAGUACGUACAGGCAUAACAAGUAUAGUUGUUUAAGAUGACAAAAUCAAUCAAUGUUUUGGUUUACAUGAUUUUUGUCAUGUUUGUUCUUGUUUCAUUAACUAAGGGGGUGCCAGAGUCUUCGUAUGCACCAAAACCAUCAUAUGUAUCCGAGCAAUCAUAUGCACCAGAAGCAACAUCAUCAAAAACAUCACUAGAACUGUCUGUUGCAAGUCGUAGCACUCGCGUAUCUAUUACAGGUAUAUCCAGUUUUAAUACUUUUUUCUUUCAUUUUCUCAUUACUCCGUUUAUAAUUAAAACUAAAAUUUGCAUAGUAUAAGAAUUGAUACAUCUUCAAAGACACUAAAUAACUCAAAAAUAUAUUCCUAUGGGAUGUUUGCUAUUGAUGUUNNNNNNNNNNNNNNNNNNNNNUGUUUGAUGUUUUCUAUUUUUUUUAAUUACAAUUUUGGCACUAAUAGAUUCAUAUUUUUCUAAUGAGUAUAUAAUUAUUUUUAUAAUCAUGAUUACGAAUGUGUAUUUUAGGUUUCAAAAUUCGUAGAUUCGACUUUCUUCUGUUAGGUUUACAACCUUUAAAGUGAAAGCUUUUAAUUUUUUUAAUCUAUUGUAUAUGAAAUAUGUUUGUUUCGUGAAUUUCAGGUUGCACUUUUGCAUCACAAUGCAAAACCAAAUGUUGCAUUUGCGAUAAAGGCGCAUGCAUUCGAUGUUGUUGAGAGGGUAUAACUACAAUUACUAUGUAAUUGGUGACUGGCUAGCAUACUAAUAUAAAUUAUUUACCAAUAAAACAUAUGUAUUUGUAGCUAUUAUAGCACCAAAGAACAAUUUUCAUCUUCAUGCUUAAAAGAUUAUUCACAUUUUUUGCGCAUUUCAUUUUGUUUUCUUCGUAGUAUCGGUCAUAAUUUAAUGCUAGAGGGCCAUACCGAGCCCUUAACUAAUUAUUUUAUAACAUCUAUAAUAACAUGUAAUCUUAUAUCAAGUCUCCAAGUAGUCAAACCAUCUUACAAUACAUAAAAAAAAUCGAUAAAGUGGCAUCAAUAUCAUUAUCAUAACAAAAUAAUUCUGCCCCAAAUGCGAAGACGAAUAACUAGAUAAUUAAAAAAUAAAAAUAUAAACAAUUUUGGCAAGAAAUUGUCAAAUUUAAAAGAUACUACACUCUAAACAUCUAAGGCAAUAAUGGAACUUCCAUGAGUUUCAAGAAUCCUAAAAAACGCACAUGACUACAGUAAAAUCAAACUAAAGAAUAACAUCCAUUGCAAAUGUAGGUGGUUUUGCACCUACCUUUACAUUGGAAGGUUGUAACUAUGUUAGGUCGUGUAGUAUGAAUGCAUGCAACACUCUAGCAUCUCUAGGAAAUGCCAAUGCCCUAUAUGGCAUGGCAUAACUAUAUACUAAUGGCAUCUUUAUGGGUCUUGUACCCUAGUACUUGCUUCUGUCUGUAAUUAAUAUUAAUAUAAGUAUCUUUUCCCUUCAAAAAAGAUAAGACCACUUAGAUAAGUAACGAAAUAAAGUCAAGAAAUAAAAUGAAUGAUUCCUUGAAAGUUUUUAUCUACUGAUCUUAAUCCAAGAUUGUCAAGAAAGAAGGAAGAAAUCAAGUAAUUUGUCCACAUUAGCUAACAAGUAAAAUUCGAAUAUAGACCUUUUAAGUUUCUUGAACUAAAAUUUGUAUAUUCAUAAACAAAAUAAAUCGUACUAUAAGUUAGAAUAAUUAAUAAUUUUAAGAUAUUUAAAAAUACAUAAAAUGUCGUGGCUAAAAAAAAAUCUCAAAAUGCCCCUCUCUUUAGUGAGAUUAUAUGAGAAAAUGUUGAACCAAAAUAUAUUAUUGCUACGGGAGCCUGUACAAUUACAUGCAUGAUGUUCUGACACUCAAAAUCUGAAGUGUAUCACAUUAAUUGAAACUUAAUAUUUAAUAGGAGUAGAACAUAUAUUUAUAUUUUUGUACUAAAAUAUUAUAGGAGUAGGUGAUUAGAGGAUAAGAAAGAUUUUCCAACUUUAUGUAGGUAUUUUAUUCUAUUCACCGCUUACUUUGAGCCUUCACACCUUUUAAAAUAUUAUGGAUAGAUUUAUAAAUUAGGGUUUGACAUAAAUUGGUAACUUGGUUGUUGUUUAUGAAUUUUAUUAUUGUUUAAGUGCUAGAAUAUGUUGGAGGAGCUUUAAUCUUAGUUGUAAUUUUAUGCGUUAUCUUGUUUAAUCGGAAGAGGAAUAAUAUAUUGAAUAUUAUUACAACAAUGCCUUAAUUUAUUUUAGUGGUUUUUUAAAGUAAUUAAGAGAGCUUUGGUGAUCCAUUAUUUGAAUUAAGAUUAAGAAAUAUUCACAACAAGUUUCUCUUAUAUCACUCCUACUAAUAGAUUCUUGCAAGUUCACUGUACUUCACAUUAGCUUAUUUGAACGGUUUAGGUUUAAUCGAGAGACGAAUCAAAAUCAGAAUAAUUUGAUAAUAACAUGUUGAACAAUAACGACUCGCCCGAUCAUUUUCUAGAUUCUUAUUCCCUAUUUAAGACUUCCUAUAUAUUCUUUUAUUAUUUUAUGACUUGCGAGGAUGGUUAAUUUGAUUUUGGAAGGGUUCGGGUUGCAUUCAAACUUAGUCCAUAAUAGUGGCCUUAGGUGACCAAGUUUUACAUGAGUCAACACUAUGAGUAAAUGACGUUGGAAUCAGGAUUUGAAGGUUCAUAUAGGUUCGUAUGAUGAUUUUGGAUUUCAGCAUGUGUUCAGACUGAGGGUGAUCCAGAAGUUUUUCAGUGAUUAUUGUUGAAAGUUGGCGUCUUGAAGGUUUUUGAGUUUUCAAAAUUUGGUUUGAAGUAGACUGUAACGACCCGGUCAUUCGUUUUGAGUAUUGUAGCCCCGUUCCCCAAUUUAUUAUUCAUUCCAUAUAUGUUUGUUGUUAUGCGACUUGCCAGGGUGAUUGAUUUGGUUAUGGGGAUAUUUUGGAAUGAAUUGGACACUUAGUCCCAAGGUUGGAAGCCUAAGUUUAAAGAGUCGAUCGAAUGUUGACUUAUAAGUAGAGGACUCCAAAAUGGAGUUUUGAUAGAUCUGUAUGGUGAUUUUGGACUUAGGAGUAUGUCCGGAUAAUGAUUUGGAGGUCCAUAUGUCGUUUUGUCUUGAAUUGGUGAAAGUUGAAAACAUAAGGUUUGGAGAGUUGAGAAGUUUUACCGAGAAUCGACGCCGUGCCAUGAUUUUGAGAGUUAAUGCACAAAGGGUGAUGUCAUACCAUGAUUAUGAGAAUUAAUGCACGAAGAGUGAUGCCAUGCCGUUUCUGUUGUUUCUUAUGGUGAGGACAGGAGUAAAAGCACGAAGGGUGAUGCCGUGCAUGUGUUACUAUAUCAUUAUUUUUGUUUAUUCAAAUAUGGUAUUUACUUUGCUUCUCCAUUGAAUUACUGUCAGAAUCUGAUUAUUCCCACAUCAUGUUUUCCCUUCCCAUGUUUAUCUGUUAAAUUUCUGUUAUUAUUGUUUUCUCGUCACUACUUCACCGAGGUUAGGCUCGACACUUACCAGUACAUGGGAUCGGUUGUACUGAUACUGCACUCUGCACUUUCUGUGCAGAUUUCAGUGCCGGACCUCGUGAGUAGAGUUUGAGUUGCUGCCUUCAGUCCACGGGAGACUGAAGGUAGAUCUGCUGGCGUUCGCAGACCCUGGAGUCCCCUUCCUCCCCCUUUUGGAUUUCCUGUCUCUUUCUAUUUUGAGAACAAAUAUAUUUCUUUUAAACCAAUAUUUGUAGAAUUUCUUUGAUGUUCGUGGAUUGUGAUACCAUAUCAUUGGGGUAGUCAUGUAUUAGAGUUGUUGAAGUGUUAUAAUACUUCUGCACUUUAUCUCUGUUUGGCUUUAGCUAAUAUUUACUUCUGUUCUGGUUAAUAAUUAAUGUGGUAAACCUGUAUCUGUCGGCUUGGCUAGCUUUCAAAAGUAGGCUCCAUCACGAUCCCGACGGUAGGAAAUAUGGGUCGUGACAGCAUGAAUACAAUAUCGGUUUACAAAAAUAAUCUUAAAAUAUUAAGCAUAAUAACUCAUAAUAAAAGUGCAUAACCGAAAUUCUAGAUAUUAGUCUUAUAAUCUUAUUAGUUUUAGGACAUAAUACUACACGUUAGGAAUCCUACAUGAUUACCUUUAGGAAUCCUAUUAGUAUAAUUACUUUCGAAAUGUCUAAUUCAUAUAAAAUUGAACAAGUAAAUAUCUUUAGCCCUGUAAUCCUAAUACUUUUAGAAUAUACUUCUUAAAAAUUCAUAUUACUAAUUUAAUUUGAAAACGUAUUAUAGUGUCCUAUUACUAAUUUAAUUUGAGAAUGUAUUAUAUUGUCCAAAACUCCAAAUUCAUUUAAAAAAGGAGAACCUAUAUUAUUAUAAAAGCAUAAAUACAAUAUUAACAUACCAAAAUAGUCCUAAAAUAUUAAGCGAAAGAACACAUAGGGAAAGGACAUAAUUUGGACUGCAAUACCUUCUAUGCUAAUUUUUAAUAUUUAAAAUUUUAAAUUAAUAGAAUUUUGUUUAUUAAAUUCUUAUUAAAAAUAUGUAGAAAGGUUUAAUAAAAUUAAUUUUAUAAGAAUCCUCCGUAUUGGCAAUACAUUACCACUCCAUAAUGUCCUAUGCCAAGAAAAAAUAAAAGUAAUAUUAAAUGGACUGCAUAAAGAGUUGAGAUUGAGAAAAAAAGAUACCCCCACUUUAAUAUAUUUUUAUUUUAUAUUUAAACUAUUUUCCUACUCAAAUAAUAUAUUUUUAAUUAAUUUUUCGUGUAAUAUUAAAAAAUUCUCAAUUAUGAAACAACACCUAAGAAAAUAUUUAAGAAUAUAAAUGUGUGAGUGUCACGACCAAAAACUAACACUGUCGUGAUGGGGCCUAACGUGGUACUAGGCAAGCCGACACACUACCAAAACCAAUCAAUAUUUUCAUUUUUAAGACAAAACCAAAGCUAUUUAACAAUAAACCUGCAUAAGGAGUUUAAAUCAAAAAAACAAUGCAGAAAGAAAGUCCGACAUCGGGAUGUCACUAGUCAUGAGCAUCUACUACAACCGUUUGACAACAUCGAGACUAACAUAGCCUGGAAAUAACUGAAUACAACUAAGGGAGGAUAAGGAGGGAGAAAAGUAGGGCUGCAAUUGCCAGGCAACUACCUUACUAACUCCGAUGGAUCUGACAUUGAGUAAUCAACACCGGCUACCGGGUUCAGAAAUACCUGGAUCUGCACACAAGAUGCGGGAAGUAAUGUGAGUACGCCAACUCAGUAAGUAAUAAAAGUAAAUAGAGAUUGAGCAGUAGUGACGAGCAAUAAAACAUAUACAGUUCAUAUCAUGAAAUCUCAGUAAAAUACAUCAGGAUUUUAAAAUCAGGGUUUUGAAUCAACUCAGAUCAUUUAAAUCCAGUUUCAAUAAAAUCAUUUAAAUAUCUUUCAAUAAAUUUCAACGAAGUGAUGAAAUAGUGAGUAAAAAUGAUGAAAACAUAAAUAACCCAUCAGGCAAAACUCACUCGUAUACAGCCCCUCGAGCAACAUAAAUCAAGAACAGCCCCUCGGUGAACAUCACUCGUGAACAACCCCCUCGGGCAAACAUGAAUCAUAAAUACCUCGGGCGAACCUCAUAGUCACUCAUAUACAACCCCUCAGGCAUUACCUCACAAUCGCUCGUAAACAGCCCCUCGGGCACAAUAUGAAUCAAGAACAGCCUUUCGGGCAAAACAUCAUAUCACUCACUCAGGGUACCCACGCUCACUGGGGGUGUACAGACUCCGGAGGGGCUCCUAGAACCCAAGCGCUAUAACAAGCCACCUAGUGGCACAAAUCAAUUAGGCCCUCGGCCUCAUAACAAGCCACCUCGUGGAAUAAAUUAAUCAGGCCCGCGACCUUACAAAAAUCCUGAAUCAAUAACAACAUGUUGCGGUGUGCAGCCCGAUCCCAUAAUAUCCUCACAACACAGGCCCUCGGCCUCAAUCAGUUAGAAACCUCUCAAGCCACUUGGGCUAUCAGUAAAACAGGGUGCUCACCCCAAAAAUAUCAUUUUAUGCAUCAAAACGGAAUAAUAAAGACUGAGUCAUGAAAUCAAUAAACACAACAUGAUGAGUAUAGAUCUUAAAUUAAAAACAGUGAGAGGAUAAUAAGAAAAAUCCCCUAAGGGUCCAAACAGCUAUGGUACAAGGCCCAAAUAUGGCAUUCAGCCCAAUUUAUAGGAAAUUCUUUCUAAAACACAUAAGUAUCAUAUAAUUUAAGUCAAAUACGCAACUUUAUAGUUGCUACAGGACGAACCAAGUCACAAUCUCUAACGGUGUACGCCAACACGCCCGUCACCUAACAUUGUAAUGACCCGGCCGGUCAUUUCAUGUAUUACCACUUUGUUUCCCCCAUUUCUGCUUCUUUAUGCUUUGUUUAUCCGUUUUACGUGGUAUCGGGUUAGUCGGUUCGAAUCCGGAAUGGUUUUGGUAAGGUUUGAGCCACUUAAUAUUUUUUGAAUAAGCUUAAGUUGGAAAUGUCAACCGGAUGUAGAAUUAUGUGAAAAGGCUCGGAUGUGAAUUUUGAUGGAUCGGAUAGCUUCGAGAGAUGAUUUAGGACUUAGGAGUGUGAUCGGUACAUGUUUUGGUGGUCCGUAGUAGGUUUAGGCUUGAAUUGGCGAAAAUGGAAUUUUGGCGUCUUACGGUUGAUAAGUGAAAUUUUGAUAUAGGGGUCAGAAUAGAAUUCCGGGAAUCACAGUAGGUCCGUUGUGUCAUUGGGGAUAUGUGUGCAAAAUUUCAGGUCAUUCGGACGUGGUUUGAUAGACUUUUUGAUCAAAAACGUAAUUCGGAAGAUUUUGGAAUCUUAGGCUUGAAUCCGAUUUGAUUUGGUUGAUUCGAUAAUAUUUGAGGUGUUUUGAAGAUUUGUAUAUGUUUGGAUAUUGGUAUAUGACUAGUUCAUGCUCUUGGUUGAGGUCCCAGGGCCUCGGGGUGAUUUCGGAUGGUUGACGGGAGGUUUUGGAGUUGAGUUUGGCAGCUGAAGUUUUAUGGUUGCUGUCAUAACCGCAUUUGCGGUUGGGAGACCGCAAGCGCGACUCCCGCAGAUGUGGAAGCAAGACGCAGAAGCGGCCGAGAGGUGAGUUAGGCGGAGCCGCGAAAGAGGGCAUCUGGACGCAUCUGCGUGGCCGCAGACGCGAAAGAAAGGUCACAGGUUCGGUUUCAGGGAUUUAAGUGAAAACCGCAGAAGCGGUAGAUUAACCGCAAAAGCGGUAGCGCAGAAGCGGAAAAAAGGACCACAGGUGCGAAAUACCUGGGUCAAAAAGUAUAUAUGGUUUCCUUCGCGAAUUUUUGCUAAGCUUUCUAUUUUUGAAGACGGGAAGUGAGCUAGGGCAGUGAAUUCCAAGGGGAUAUCAAAGAUCAUCAGUUGUGUGAGUUACCUAAGCUUCAUUACUGGAGUUUAUGACCAUUUUUCCAUUGUUUAAUCAUGGUAUUAGUGGAAAUUAAGGAAAAAAAUUUAGGGAUUUGGGCUUGAUAUUGGAGAGCUUGGAGUGGAGAUUUGAGGAGUCAUUUGAGGUCCGAUUUCAAUGCUUUUGGCAUGAAUAGACUCGUGGGAGGAUAAGGAUUCUAUUGAUGUGAUUUUUAUGGAAUUUUGAGAUGUGGCCCCGGGGGUCGGGUUUGGAUCAAUUUCGGAAUUUUGGUAUAAUUUGAUUAUUUUCGCAUGGGCUUCGUUCCCUUAGCAUAUUCUAAUAUUAUGAUUCUGAUUUUGGGUAGAUUCAGCGCGAGUUGAGGCCGAGGUGAGAGGUAAAGGUAUCGCGGAGUAGUAUUUCAUCUGGUUUGAGGUAAGUAACCAUCGUAAAUCUGGAACUCAGGGUAUAAAACCCCGGUAUUUCUUAUUGCUUUGAUAAGUGAGGUGGCACACAUGCUAGGUGACGAGCGUAUGGGCGUGCACCGGUAGGGAUUGUGACUUGGUCCAUCCCGUAGUGACUAUUAAGCCGCGUAUUUGAUUUUAAAUCUUAUGAUAUCACGAAUUUUAGAGAUUGAUACUAUAUUAUGGGUUGUAUGCCGUGUUUGGAGCCUUGUGCCGACCUGUUGAGACCCUAAAGGGCAUUCUUACUGUUUUCCUCACUCUAUUUGUUUGAAAGCAUAUCCUCAGUCAUGUUUUACCUGUUUAUUAUUUAGACCUAGUUCUUAUCACUCUACUUCUUUAAAUGUGAAAACUGUUUGGGCUGAGUUUCCUUAAUUUCCACUGUUAUGCCCGAGUGGCUGUGAGGUUAAUAACUGAGAGAGGUUGAAGACCUAAUAAUGAGGAUUAUUUAUAUAUUAUGGAUCAGGUUGCACGCCACAGCAAUAUUAUAUAUAUAUAUAUAUUAUGGAUCGGGAUGCACACCGCAGCGAUACAUAUAUGAAUCGGGCUGCAUGCCGCAACGGUAUAUAUAUUGGAUCGGGCUGCGUGCCGAAGCGAUAUGAUGCUUGGGCUAUAGGAGCCCCUCUGGAGUCUGUGCACCCCCUUAUUUACUUUAGUUACUUACUGAAUUGGCGUACUCACAUUACUCCCUAGACCUUGUGUGCAGAUCCAGGUGCCCGAGCGGCAGAGUGAGGUCCCCAACAUGGAGUUUGCAGUCGUGCUUUCCUCCUUCAUAUCUUUGUUUUCUACAUUUUUAGGGCUUAUUAUGUAUUAGUCAGUUAGACUGGUUAUAUUUAGAGGAUCUAGACUUGUGACACCGGAUUUGUUGGGUUGUGUUGGAAUAUUUUUGUACUGUUUUCCACACAUUUCAGUAUUUUAUAUAUUUCUUACGAAAGUUCGAGACUUAAUCAGUUUUAGAAAAAUGAUUUUAUAAAAGAAUUUACUAUGGUUACUUGUUGGGUUGGCUUGCCUAGUACUGUGAUAGGCGCAAUCACGACCGGGUUAUUUGGGGGUCGUGACAAGUUGGUAUUAGAGCCUAGGUUACAUAGGUCUCGCGAGUCAUGAGCCAUUUUAGUAGGGGCUCGCAGAUCGGUAUGGAGACAUCUGUAUUUAUCCUCGGGAGGCUGCAGAACCUUUAGGAAAAACUUCAUAUUCUUGAAAUUCUUGUCGUGCGAAUAUGUUGAUCCGAGUACUAAACUUCUGUUAUUCUAUUCUCUCAUAGAUGGUGAAGACACGUGCUACCGGUCAGGAUGGACAACCACCAGUACCACCAGUUGGGGCCACUAGACGACGAGGAAGUGGUCUAGGCCAUGGUAGGGGCAGGGAUGUAUCCUACACAGCAGCUCGGGCAGCACUUGCAGAUCCACCAGCCACCCCAGUUCAGGAUCAGGUCCCAGUUGCGGACGCUCCAGCAGCACCAUCUCAGGCACCAACUUUGUUUAUUGUGAUUCCAGGCCUUCAGGAGGUUUUAGCUCAGAUUCUAUCAGUAUGCACUAGGUUGGCUCAGGCAGUCUCUGUUACUACGAUCGUAGCUACUUAUCAGGCCGGGGGAGGUACUCAGACUCCCGUUACUCGCACACCUGAGCAGGUUGUGCAGGGACUUCAAACACUGGGGGCACCUCCAACCCAGCCGGUUGCACCAGCUCAGAAGUAUGUGGUACCAGUUAUGCCUGAUGACGAGCUACGUCGAUUGGAGAGGUUUGGUAGACUUCUACCUUUGAUUUUUAGUGGUACCGAGGGUGAGGAUGCCUAGGGUUUCUUGGACAAGUGUCAGAGGAUUCUCCGUACAGCGGGUAUUUUGGAGACCAGUGGUGUAGCAUUUACUACUUUUUAGUUUUCUGGAGUUGGCUUCACUUGGUGGGAGGCUUAGGAGAGGCGUAGGCCUAUUAGUGCAGCGCCCCUUACUAGGCAGCAGUUCUACGUUCUCUUUCUGGAGAAGUAUGUGCCAUAGUCUCACAGAGAGGAGCUGCACAGGCAGUUCAAGCAGUUGCAUCAGGGAGAUAUGACUGUGACACAGUAUGAGAUGCAGUUCUCUAAGUUAGCUCGUUAUGUAGUCUGGUUGGUUCUCAUAGAUUGAGAGAGGAUCAGGAGGUUCAUUGAUGGCCUCACAUAUCGGCUUCGGAUUCUCAUGAUUCAGGAGAUGGUGUUAGGUGCUACUUUUGAGGAGGUUGUUGACAUCGCCCACGAGAUUGAGUCAGUUGGUCGCCAGGAGCGAGAAGAGAGUGAGGCCAAGAGGCCUCGGGGAUCUGGUAGCUUUGGUAGUGCUCCUUCGAGGGGUUAGUUUCAGCACAGUAGAGGCCGUCCAUUUCGGCAGGCUCAGUCAGCUCGCCCAGGUUAUCGUGGGGCAUUAUCGGGCCAUGGUUCUCACAGUUCUAAUUAGGUCCAUUCAUCACUCAGUGCCCUUCCAGCCAAGAGUUCAUCCCGUGCUCCAUCAGUUUAGGGUUUUUCCAUGCCAGGUCCUUCUACUGGUCAUUCCGGUCCCAAGGGUUCCUUUAAGUCCCCAUCUCCAACACUAGGGAGUUGUUAUAAGUGUGGAGAAUUUUUAUGAGGAGGCAGUGUCCUUGUCUUCUUAAGGGUCCAUCUCAGUAGAGGGGUCAGCCCUCGACUUUAGCUCCAGUUACUUCACCACCCAUUUAGACAGCUAGGGGUGGGGGUCAGUCAGCUAGGGGCCGCCCCAGAGGGGAGGUCAAUCAGGUGGUGGUCAAGCUCGUUUCUAUGCACUCUCAGCUAGACCAGAUGUUGUUACUUCAGAUGCUGUGAUUACAGGUAUUGUCUCAGUCUGCCGCAGAGAUGCCUCUAUGUUAUUUGAUCCUGGUUCCACUUUUUCAUAUGUGUCAUCAUAUUUUGCUCAUUAUUUGGAUACACCCCGUGAGUCUCUUGUUCCAUUUGUUCGUGUAUCUACUCCGGUGGGUGAUACUAUUGUUGUGGACCGUGUGUACCGAUCGUAUGUGGUGACUAUUGGGGGUCUGGAGACCUGAGUGGAUCUAUUAUUGCUCUGUAUGGUGGACUUUGAUGUGAUAUUGGGCAUGGAUUGGCUAUCUCCAUGUCGUGCUAUAUUGGAUUGUCAUGCUAAGACAAUGCCGUUGGCUAUGUCGGGUGUGCCACGUAUCGAGUGGCGAGGUUCUACUGAUUUUUCCCCAGUAAGGUGAUUUCAUUUCUGAAGGCUUGGUGGAUGGUUGGGAAGGGUUGUCUUUCAUACUUAGCUUUUGUGAGGGAUGUCAGUGUAGAGACUCCCAGUAUUGAUUCUGGUCCUAUUGUGAGGGAUUUUCUCAAUGUUUUUCCUACAGACCUGCCGGGUAUGCCACCGGACAAGGAUAUUGAUUUUGGUAUUGAUCUGGUGUCGGGCACCCAGCCCAUUUCUAUUCCACUGUAUCGUAUAGCACCAGCGGAGUUGAAGAAGCAGCUUCAGGAACUCCUUGAUAAAGGGUUUAUUUGGCCUAGUGUGUCGCCUUGGGAUGUGCCUAUUCUAUUUGUGAAGAGGAAGGAUGGCACAAUGAGGAAUUGCAUUGAUUACAGGCAGUUGAACAAAGUAACAAUCAAGAACAAGUAUCCUUUGCCUCGUAUCGAUGAUUUGUUUGACCAGCUUCAGGGAGCAAGAGUGUUCUCCAAGAUUGAUCUCUGUUCAUGUUAUCACCAGUUGAAGAUCAGUGACUCUAGACAGCUUUCAGGACCCGAUGGUCAUUAUGAGUUCCUAGUGAUAUCUUUUGGGCUAACCAAUGCCCUAGUAGCGUUUAUGCAUUUGAUGAACAGUGUGUUUCGGCCUUAUCUCGACUCAUUUGUCAUAGUUUUUAUUGAUGAUAUUUUAGUGUAUUCGCGUAGUCGGGAGGAGCACAUGGAGCAUUUGAGAGUUGUGUUGCAGAGGUUGAGGGAGGAGAAACUUUUUGCAAAGUUCUCCAAGUGUGAGUUUUGGAUUAGUUCAGUGGCUUUCUUGGGGAACGUGGUGUCCAACGAGGGUAUUCAGGUUGAUCAGAAGAAGAUAAAGGCGGUUCAGAGUUGGCCCAAACCAUCCUCAGCCACAGAGAUUCGUAGCUUUCUUGGUCUGGCGGGUUAUUACCGCUGAUUUAUUCAGGGAUUUUCAUCUAUCGCAUCGCCUUUGGCCAAGUUGACUCAGAAGGGUGCUUUAUUCAGGUGGUCGGAUGAGUGUGAGGAGAGCUUUCAGAAGCUCAAGACUACCUUGACCACAACUCCAGUGUUAGUUUUGCCAUCAGCUUAGGUUCAUAUACCAUGUAUUGUGAUGCUUCGAGAGUUGGUAUUGGGUGUGUGUUGAUGCAAGAGGGUAGAGUUAUUGCUUAUGCUUCUCGUCAGUUGAAGCUCCAUGAGAAAAACUACCCUGUUCAUGAUUUGGAGUUGGUUGUCAUUGUUCACGCGUUGAAGAUCUGGAAGCAUUAUUUGUAUGGUGUGUCUUUUGAGGUGUUUACUGAUCCUCCAGCACUUGUUCAAAUAGAAGGAUCUCAAUUUGAGGCAGCGCAGAUGGUUGGAGCUACUAAAGGACUAUGAUAGCACUAUUUUGUACCAUCCGGAGAAGGCCAAUGUGGUGGCCGAUGCCUUGAGUAGGAAGGCAGUGAGUAUGGGGAGUUUGGCGUAUAUUAUAGAUGGGGAGAGACCUCUUGCAGUUGAUGUUUAGGCCUUGGCCAUUUAGUUCGUGAGGUUAGAUAUUUUGGAGCCCAGUCAGGUAUUGGCUUGUGUGAUUUCUCGGUCUUCCUUAUUUGAUCGCAUCAGAGAGCGCCAGUAUGAUGAUCCUCAUUUGCUUGUCCUAAAGGAUAGAGUUCAGCACGAUGAUUCCAGAGAUGUGACUAUUUGUGAUGACGGAGUAUUGAGGAUAUAAGGCCGGAUAUGCGUGUCCAAUAUGGAUGGGCUUCAAGAGUUGAUUCUAGAGGAGGCCCAUAGCUCGUUGUAUUCCAUUCAUCCGGGUUCCAUGAAGAUAUAUCAGGAUCUAAAACAACAUUAUUGGUGGAGGAGAAUGAAGAAAGAUAUUGUGGGAUUUCUGGCUCAGUGUCUCAAUUGUCAGCAGGUGAAAUAUGAGCAUCAAAGACUAGUGUGGCUUACUUCAGCAGAUGGAUAUUCCAGAGUGGAAGUGGGAGCGGAUCACCAUGGACUUUAUAGUUGGGCUCCCAUGGACUUUGAAGAAGUUCGAUGCUAUUUGGGUGAUUGUGGAUCGGCCAAACAAGUCCGCGCACUUCAUUCCUAUGUGUACUACCUAUUCUUCAGAGCGGUUGGUAGAGAUCUAUAUCUAGGAGAUUGUUCGUUUGCAUGGUGUCCCAAUUUCCAUCAUUUCAGAUAGGGCACUCAGUUUACUUCACAAUUUUGGAGGUCUGUGCAGCGAGAUUUGGGUACGUAGGUUGAGUAGAGCAUAGUUUUUCACCCUCAGACGGAUGGCCAGUCCGAGCGCACUAUUCAGAUAUUGGAGGACAUGUUGUGCGCUUGUGUUGUUGAUUUUGGAGGGUCAUGGGAUCAGUAUCUACCGCUCGCAGAUUUUCUUAUAACAACAGUUACUAGUCGAGUAUUCAGAUGGCUACAUAUGAGGCUUUGUAUGGGAGGCGGUAUAGAUAUCUAGUUGGUUGGUUUGAGCCAGGUGAGGCUAGGCUAUUGGGUACAAACUUGGUGCAGGAUGCUUAGACGAGGUGAAGGUGAUUCAGGAGAGGCUUCGUACAACGCAGUCGAGACAAAAGACUUAUACUGACAGGAAGGUUCAGGAUGUGUCCUACAUGGUUNNNNNNNNNNNNNNNNNNNNNNNNNNNNNNNNNNNNNNNNNNNNNNNNNNNNNNNNNNNNNNNNNNNNNNNNNNNNNNNNNNNNNNNNNNNNNNNNNNNNNNNNNNNNNNNNNNNNNNNNNNNNNNNNNNNNNNNNNNNNNNNNNNNNNNNNNNNNNNNNNNNNNNNNNNNNNNNNNNNNNNNNNNNNNNNNNNNNNNNNNNNNNNNNNNNNNNNNNNNNNNNNNNNNNNNNNNNNNNNNNNNNNNNNNNNNNNNNNNNNNNNNNNNNNNNNNNNNNNNNNNNNNNNNNNNNNNNNNNNNNNNNNNNNNNNNNNNNNNNNNNNNNNNNNNNNNNNNNNNNNNNNNNNNNNNNNNNNNNNNNNNNNNNNNNNNNNNNNNNNNNNNNNNNNNNNNNNNNNNNNNNNNNNNNNNNNNNNNNNNNNNNNNNNNNNNNNNNNNNNNNNNNNNNNNNNNNNNNNNNNNNNNNNNNNNNNNNNNNNNNNNNNNNNNNNNNNNNNNNNNNNNNNNNNNNNNNNNNNNNNNNNNNNNNNNNNNNNNNNNNNNNNNNNNNNNNNNNNNNNNNNNNNNNNNNNNNNNNNNNNNNNNNNNNNNNNNNNNNNNNNNNNNNNNNNNNNNNNNNNNNNNNNNNNNNNNNNNNNNNNNNNNNNNNNNNNNNNNNNNNNNNNNNNNNNNNNNNNNNNNNNNNNNNNNNNNNNNNNNNNNNNNNNNNNNNNNNNNNNNNNNNNNNNNNNNNNNNNNNNNAGCUUGCUUUCCACCCAACUUGUCGAGUGUGCAUCCGGUAUUUCAUGUUUCUAUGCUCCAAAAGUUUAUUGGUGAUCCGUCUCAUGUUUUGGAUUUCAGCACAGUUCAGUUAGAUGAUGAUUUGACUUAUGAUGUGGAGCCAGUGGCUAUUUUCGAGUGUCAGAUUCGAAAGUUGAGAUAAAAGGAUAUAGCUUCAGUGAAAGUGCAAUGGAGAGGUCGGCCCGUGGAGGAGGCUACCUAGGAGACCUAGCGGGAGAUGCAGAGCAGAUAUCCUCACCUAUUUGAGGCUUCAGGUAUGUUUCUUGACUCGUUCGAGGACGAACAUUUGUUUAAGAGGGGGAGGAUGUAACGACCCAGCCGUUCGUUUCAUGUGUUACCGCUCUAUUUUCCCCUAUUUAUGCUUCUUUUUGCUUUGUUUAUCCGUGUUAUGUGGUAUCGGGUUAGUCGGUAAUAUGGAAUGGUUUUGGUAAGGUUUGAGACACUUAGUCUCUUUUAAGUAAGCUUAAGUUGGAAAAGUCAACCGGAUGUUGACGUAUGUGAAAAAGGGCUCGGAUGUGAAUUUCGAUGGUUCGAAUAGAUCCGGGAGAUUAUUUGGGACUUAGGAGUGUGAUCGAAACGUAUUUUGGAGGUCCGUAGUAGAUUUAGGCUUGAAUUGGCGAAAAUAGAAUUUUGGCGUCUUCCGGUUGAUAGAGGAGAUUUUGAUAUAGGGGUCGGAAUGGAAUUACGGGAGUCGCAGUAGGUCCGUUGUGCCAUUUGGGAUGUGUGUGCAAAAUUUCAGGUCAUUCGGACGUGGUUUGUUAGACCUUUUGAUCAAAAAUAUAAUUCGGAAGAUUUUGGAACCUUAGGCUUGAAUCCGAUGUGAUUUGGUUGAUUCGAUGUUGUUUGAGGUGUUUUGAAGAUUUGUAUAAGUUUGGAUAUUGGUAUAUGACUAGAUCGUGCUCUUGGUUGGGGUCCCGGGGGCCUCCGGGUGAUUUCGGAUGGUUGACGGGAGGUUUUGGAGUUGAGUUUGGCAGCUGAUUUUUAUGGUUGCUGUCAUAACCACGUCUGCAGUUGGGAGACCGCAGGUGCGACUCCCGCAGAUGCGGAAGCAAGCCACAGAAGAGGCCAAGAGGUGAGUUAGGCGGAGCCACAGAAGCGGGCAUUUGGACUCAUCUGCGUGACCGCAAACGCGGAAGAAAGGUCGCAGGUGCAGUUUUGGGGAUUUAAGUGAAAGCCGCAGAAGCGGUAGAUUUACCGCAAAAGCGGUAGCGCAGAAGCGGAAAAAGAGACCGCAAGUGCGAAAUACCUGGGUCAGAGAGUAUAUAAGGUUUCCUUCGCGAAUCUUUGCUAAGUUCUCCAUUUUUUAAGACGGGAAGUGAGCUAGGGCUGUGAAUUCCAAGGGGAUAUCGAAGAUCAUCAGUUGGGUGAGUUACCUAAGCUUCAUUACUUAAGUUUAUGACCAUUUUUCCAUUGUUUAAUUAUGGUAUUAGUGGAAAUUAAGGAAGAAAAUUGAGGGAUUAGGGCUUGAUAUUGGAGAGCUUUGAGUGGGAUUUGAGGGGCCAUUUGAGGUCCGAUUUCCAUGCUUUUGGUAUGAAUAGACUCGUGGGAGGAUAAAGAUUCUAUUGAUGUGAUUUUUAUGGAAUUUCGAGACGUGGUCCCAGGCCGGGUUUGGAUCAAUUUUGGAUAUUUGGUAUAAUUUGAUUAUUUUCGCAUGGGCUUCAUUCCCUUAGCAUAUUCUAAUUUUAUGAUUCUGAUUUUGGGUAGAUUCGGCGCGACUUGAGGCCGAGGCGAGAGGCAAAGGCAUCGCAGAGUAGUAUUUCAUCCGGUUUGAGGUAAGUAACCAUCGUAAAGAAUUGAGGAUAUAAAACCUCGGUAUUUCGUAUUGUUUUGAUAACUGAGGUGACACACAUGUUAGGUGACGGGCGUGUGGGCAUGCACCGGUAGGGAUUGUGACCUUGUCCACCCCGUAGAGACUAUUAAUCCGCGUAUUUGAUUUGAAAUCUUAUGAUAUCACGAAUUUUAGAGAUUGAUACUAUAUUAUGGGAUGUAUGCCAUGUUUGGGGCCUUGUUCCGACCUAUUGAGACCCUUAGGGGCAUUCUUAAUAUUUUCCUCACUCUAUUUGUUUGAAAGCAUAUCCUCAGUCAUGUUUUACCUGUUUAUUGUUUAGACCUAGUUCUUAUCAUCUACUUCUUAAAAUGUGAAAAUUGUUUGAGCUGAGUUUACCUGAUUUCCACUGUUAUGCCCGAGUGGCUGUGAGGUUAAUGAUUGAGAGAGGUUGAAGACCUAAUGAUGAGAAUUAUAUAUAUUAUGGAUCGGAUUGCACGCCACAACAAUAUUAUAUGUAUAUAUUAUGGAUCGGGCUACACGCCGCAAUGAUACUUAUAUGGAUCGGGUUGCACGCCGCAUCGGUAUAUAUAUUGGAUCGGGCUGCGUGUUGAAGCAAUAUGACGUUUGGGCUGUAGGAGCCCUUCCGGAGUCUGUACACCCCCAGUGAGCAUAGUCGACUAUAAACUAUGGAUCGGGCUACACGCCGUAACGGUUAUUACGAUUAUUACUAUUAUGAGAUAUUAUUAAGCCUGAGUGUUGAGUGUGAGUACAGUGUGAUGAGAGUUGAGUCACGAGUGACCGAGAGGCUUGCCCGAGAGACUAUAUUUAUGAGUGAUACCUCGCUCGGAGGGCCCAUUUAUGAUAUUUUUGCUAAUUUUACUCUUCUUUUAUAAUGAGCCUCCAUUGAAAACUGCUAAGCAAAUAAUCUCAAAGUAUUUCAAUUGAAACUAAAGUUUUUACGAUGUAAUUGGCUUUUAAACUAUUGAGUUUGACUUGAUAUUCUGUUGUAUACUCUUAUGUAUGAUCUUUAACUGCUCGUCACUGCACUUAGACCUUAUUUACUUUAGUUACUUACUGAGUUGGCGUACUCACAUUACUCCCUGCACCUUGUGUGCAGAUCCAGGUGCCCGAGCGGUAGAGUGAGGGUCCCGAGCAUUAUCGGAGCUUACCGGAGACUGCAAGGUAGCUGCACGGCAUCCGCAACCCUGCUUUCCUCCUUCAUAUCUUUGUUUCUACAUUUUUAGGGCUUAUUAUGUAUUAGUCAGUCAGACUAGUUGUAUUUAGAGGCUCUAGACUUGUGACACCGGAUUUGUUGGGCUAUGUUGGAAUAUUUUUGUACCGUUUUCCGCACAUUUCAGUAUUUUAUAUAUAUCUUAUGAAAGUUCGAGACUUAAUCAGUUUUAGAAAACUGGUUUUAUAAAAGAAUUUACUGUGGUUACUUGUUGGGUUGGCUUUCCUAGUACUGUGAUAGGCACCUUCACGACCGGGUUAUUUAGGGGUCGUGACAAGCAUGUACAUCACCUCAAAAUAGUAAAGCAAUGUGAAAUCUGGGGUUUCAUACCCUUAGAACUAGAUUUACAAUCAUUACUUACCUCUAACAAGUCAAUUCCAAUACCAAGCAAGCCAAUCAAUUCUCCGAAAAUGCCAUCUCACGCGUUCCGACCUUAGAACGGCUUGAAACCCAAUACAUAUGGUGAAAAUCACCCAAAUCCAAGCUCCCCAACUCAAAAUAUGAUCAAAUGAACAAACCCUUGUUUUAUAUAUUUUUCUACCAGCUAUUCUACCUCGAUUCUUGUGCUAAACAAUUCCGAAACUCACUUUUGAUGCCUCCAAUGAAUUUCUUAUGAAAUUUUAGUCAAGUUAGGCUCUUGAAUCACUCCAUUUGACCUUACAUUGAAGGAUAUAUGUUGGUUUUAAUAUUUAAAAAUAGUGCAGAUUUUUAAAUACUAAUUUAGUGGCAAUUUCGUAAUUAAUCUGAAAAAUUUAGCAACCCAAUUCUUAGUAAAAUGACCGUAAAAUCUUCAUACGAUGUCCAAAUUUGAUGAUUAUUUUUGCUAUGGCUUAAUUAUAAUACGGAUCUAAUGCUUCAAUAAAAACAGAAAUCAGAGCUCAUUUGCUUAAUUUAGUACCAUUUAUGCUUGAAAAACGAUGUCGAAAUAUAAAAAAAACGAGCACAACACAACCCAAACCUAUCCGAAACUCACCUGAGCCCCUCGGGACCCUAUUUGAACAUACCAACAAGUCCCAUAUCAUAACACGGACCUACUUGAGGCCUCAAAACACACAUAACAAUAUCGAAAUGACGAAUCACACCUCAAUUCGAAAUCAAUGAACUUGAAACUUCAAACUUCCACAGCCGAUGCCGAAACCUAUCAAAUCACGUCCGAUUGACCUCAAAUUUUGCACACAAGUCACAUUUGACAUUAUGGACCUGAUCCAACUUUCGGAAUCGAAAUCUGACCCUGAUAUCAAAAAGUCCACUCCCGAUCAAACUUUCCAUAAUUCUAACUUUCGCUAUUUCAAGCCAAAUUCUACUAUGGAUCUCCAAAUCACAAUCCAGAUGCGCUCCUAAGUCUAAAAUCACCCAAUGGAGCUAAUGGAACCAUCAAAAAUCCAAUCCGAGGUCAAAUUCUAGAAAGUUAAAACUUGCUCAAACCUUUCAAAUUUAAAGCUUCUAGCUGAGAAUCAUUCUUCCAAAUCAAUUCCGAAUAACUUGAAAACCAGAACCGAUGAUUCACAUAAGUCAUAAUACUUCAUACGGAGCUACUCAUGCCCUCAAACAACCGAGCGAAGUGCAAAUGCUCAAAAUGACCGGUCGGGUCGUUACAUCUUCCCCCACUUAAUUAUAUGUUCGUCCUUGAACGUGCCAGGAGUUGUUCCAAAAGCCAUCAAAUCACCGUGUAACCUCACUAUGCACAUACCCGGGGGUGAUCCCACGUUACCCUAUCCCAUAUAGGUUUGAUAACACAAUAUGACUGAAAUUUCUUAAUCCAACCUAGUCCAUAAGUCUUAGGGCCCAAUUUCCAACAUCCGGAAUUUUUUAUAAGAUCAAAAUCUUGCAUCUACACACUGUAUAAGUCCGAACAAGCUGUAUUAAACCAUAUCCAUAACCCAUGAUGUAAUCACAUGAUAUACCAAAUAACUCAAACACUCGUAGCGAUAACCUCUAAUCACACCUGCUGCUCAAACAAUCCCAUUACUUGUAGUAAACCUCUUAUCAAAAGAAGCCUUAUUCCAACACUUUCGUAUACUGCCAAUGAUGAAAGAAACACGCAUAAAUCAUAAUCAUUCCCCAGUUCAACCAGUCAUGGAGUUCCCUCUCCUUCGGCAAGGACUAUAGUAAAUUUCUAAGCUGAAUUUCAAUAUUAUCCUUCCAACAUGCUAAAAUCGAAUAUGAUAGUAUUCAUUCUAGGUCCAAUGACCUCAUCUCAUCCAACACGACUACUCUAGUGACAUGACACAUCAUUACAAUCUAAAGCCACAACCCGUGCAAUCCGCGCACCAAUAAGCAACAAUCCGAAUGUACUCAAAUCAUGAAAAAUGACUCAAAUGAGAGAGUUGUACCGCCAGCUCACCGGUACUACCACAACACGAUGUUAAGAACCCAUCACACACUGUAGAUCCAUAACACACGAAUCUAACCCGAAGGAUCAUACCUCGACAUAACUUCGUUGCAAUGCGCAAUCCUAUCCAAAUGCUGGUCCAUACAAAACACCUCAAAUCACCAUGCUUAAAAUAAACAACCAUACGUAAUUUGAUAUCUAGUAUCAAGAGUGAAUCACCAUAACCACGUAGAGGCAAAUGACACAAUGCCACACCGGCCUGUAAGAACAUACCCAAUGCGCAAUCAAUUAUGCAAUACCAAGAUACCUAUCUCACUCAAGUUCCGCUAUAAAGCCCAAAUAGAACCAUAUCAUUUGUGCAUAUAAUCAACGAAUCAUAAUACUGCAUAGCGUACAAGAGUAACUCACAAAUAAUCUCAAAACACGAAUAAGCUUAAGAAAAACCGAAUGGAACCUCUCUUAACAAUAGCAGUUCAGAGUCGACAUAUCUAACUCGAUGCAAAACACACAUCCAUAUUGGCCUACCAAUGAACCCCAAAUCAACUCGGGUCACCCACAAUAGAUAAAUAACUCUCUGAAAGUUCACAAUGACUGAAUCAGAGCAUAUACUAUCAUCUCACUAGCUUGCCCACAUCUUCACAGUCCACAACCAUGAAAUAACUUGUUUAUGAGAACUCCCAGUCUUCAAAUCCAUAAAGCACACGAAUCACCAUAUCCGAUCCCAACUCCACCGCCCGAAUAUCCAACACACCCCUAAUACUCGAUCAUCCCAUGGGGGGUACUUCUAAAAUUCUUCUGUGCCACCACACAAAUUUUGAAUAUUAGCAGUCGAUCAAACAAGAUAGUGCCGUAAUACCAAUGAAGUAUCCAUAACUCAAACACAUCGCCCUUUUCUAAAAUGUAUAUCCUCAUCCCACACCAAUCAGUGAUCUCAUUUAUCUAGUCAUCUAAACCUUUCCAUGCUGCCUAAGAAUUUAUGAUCUUCCUUUUAAAACUGAACCGUGACCUUACACAUGCAAAUCUCAACCCCACACAACAUACCGCAUAUACCAUACCAUCCUAUGAUAAAUAUGAGAACUUCAUAAUCAACUCCGAGCUACAAGCAACUAUGUACUCAACUAACCAAGAACUUUUCCAUUUGAUCCCAUCUAGGAGAAAAUCACUAUACAUCACAUGUUGCUCACGCCAAUAGAAAAUGUACACCUCUAACUGUGGUAGAAAUCAUCAAGAACUCUCUGAAUCCCCUUUGCACAAAACCAAACUGUCAGGACUGACACCUUCUAAAUCAACCAAUCAAGCCAUCAAAACCUAAGAGCAUUGCCACGAAACACCUGGAAAAACCCACCGCAUCAUAAGAACCCAAGAACCGAUCAUAUCCAUUACCAUACCGAUCCAACCUACUACCAAGUUGUCCUAAUUCUCUGAGUUCCUUCCAAAUUACCUUCAAAUUGAUAUGUUUCCUUGCUAGUACAACACUAUACUUAACUAAAACUUGCCCCACGAACUUUACCAUAAAACCACACCAUCCUAAGGCUCAUAAACCGUUGUAUUCUUCUGAAGCACCCCCAAAAGUACCACAACUGAGAUACCCGCUCUGAAGAGACCUUUUGCGAAUCUAAAGCCAUUACCUUCGCCUUCCUGAUACUGCUAUGUAAAAUCCAUAAUGAUACAGAAAUUCCAUAAGUCUUGUCAUCCUCCCAUAUAAAUCUCAGUUUCUAGCCAACACACAUCCUGAAGAUUCCCAAUUGCCACGUAUAAUUCUUGAAUUCAUUGGAACCAUUCUUGAGAGUUAUCCACUCUGCUCAAAUCUCAGUUAGACUGACCAAACGGACCAAACGACCUAUGCCCCAUUAGCACCCCAACACCCAAGGAAGUAACCCAUUCUUCUAAGCCACCGAGCAAUUUUUCCUACUCCAUACAUGUUACAUUCCUUACAAACAACAACUAAAUCAUCCAAUAUUUCUUAUAAACCCAUAAAGCAUAACACAACCCUUAUCCAAAAUUUCCUUUACUCAAGUCAUCCUCAAUCUCAACCUCUAUAAGCCAUAACUGAUUCACUAGUAUACCUAAAAUUGGAACCAACACAAUACAUAAUCGUGCAAUCAACGUAUCAAUAGCAGGCUCCCCAACUUGGCUCAAAGUCAUAGAUCAAAACACACAAUAACUCACAAUGUCCAUACUCUAUCACUGCCAUAAUACCAUAGUGAGAGUCAACUAAAUCCCUUUAUAAGCUCAUGCAACACAUCCAUCUAGUAUUUCAAAUCAUCUGCAAAUCUUGCAUUCACUCUCAUAAUAGACAAGCCCACUUUCAUAAGCGAUCCAAACCCAAAUUGCAAUGCAUAUAUUUCACUGGUAAAAGAGGACUUCCAACCAACAACAUAAGGAUCACACAAACCUUAGAACACCUCGUAGGAGAUAAUCCACCUGCUUAGACUCAAACCGGUAUCCCUUUAUACUCUUCCAUAAUCAUAACUAUUACACAAUCACUUAACCCCCUAAUUCGGAACUCAUAAUACAACAUGAAGAUCUACUCAACUCCACAACUAAACUACACGAGAGGUCAUUCAACACACUCAUAGUUCGAGGCCAUACGCCAACUCAAGACAGACGUCAAGCACCCAAUAACCCUUUCUACAUCUCCAGCAAACUCUUCUUGCCACAUUCGAACAAUCUGAACACAUCUUGCAAUCAAAUCAUACUCAUCACGUAGCCAUCCAGCCACAAACUCCACUAAUAGGGAUACUACCGGACAUAUAAAUAUAAAAGCACGUGCUCACACAAUCAACACCUUAGUGCUCAAGCUACAGUCAAAACCCGGACUCAAGUCCUCCAAACCGACCCAUCAUCAACAUGCCAAGAUCACAUAUCGCACCUCAUCCAGAGACUCACAAGCCAUCGAUGCACAACUUAUACCGAGUGCUCAUGUGUGCACAUGAAUGCGUGGAAUGAAUUCAAGGAGUUAAGCUUCAAGUUGAAUCAAUAUCGUACGAUAAGAAUUCAAGAAUGUGGAAUUUUCCUAAAGGUUCUGCAUCCUCUCGAAGAUAAGUACAGGCGUCUUUGUACUGAUCCGCAAGACUCUACUAAACCCGUUCAUGACUCGUGAGACCUAUGUAACCUACGCUCUGAUACUAACUUGUCAUGACCCAAAACUAACCCUGUCGUGAUGGCACCUAACGUGGUACUAGGCAAGCUGACACACUACCAAAACCAAUCAAAAUUUUCAUUUUUAAGACAAAACCAAAACUAUUUCACAAUAAACCUGCAUAAGAAGUUUAAAUCAAAACAACAAUGCGGAAAGAAAGCCCGACAUCGGGGUAUGUGAGCACCUAAUUUUUGCCCUACAUGAAAAUAACUCCUAAAAAUAAACCAAAAAUAAUUUUUAAGGGAUUUUAGAAGUUUCUCUUUAUUUAGUUGCAUUUAAUGUAUUUUUAAUAUUUUAAAAUCAUAGAAAAAUUAUAAAAAUAUCACGUUUUAAUUUCAUGCCAUUUUAGGUUCAAUUUGCAUGUAGGAAUUAAUUUUAUUAAGAAAAAUCACAAUAUGCUCAUAUUUUUUACAUAUUUAACUUUUAGUCUUUAGAAAGUAGUGUUUUUAUUUAGUUUUAAGUUAAUUAGUUGUUUUAAUAGACAAAUAAUUUUAAUUUUUACAAAUUAGAUUGAUUUAGGAUUAAUUUAGGACUUUAUUAGAUUUUAAAAUCAAAGAAAAAGAAAAUAAAAAAAAGAUUUUGAUUUAGUCUUAGUGUAUUGGGCAAAGUUAAUUAGCCCAAAUUCAUUACCAAAUCUCUUCAAGCCCAAAGUCCAAUACCCAUUUUCCUUCCCUUUUUAAUUAAGACAUAGACCUAGAUUUUAGGGGGGGGGGGGGGGGGAUUAUCAGAAAAAGAUCAAAAAAAUCGGACCCCAAGAACCCAACGCCGUUUUCCCCAUUUUUUUUGGUUUUCUUCUUCCUCACCUCUCAUCUUCUCCAAACCAGAGACCUAAUCAGAUUCCUUACCCAAAAAAGAGGAGCAGUUGUUUCCCCUUCCCAAAAAAGAAGAUCUGAUUUGCAAAGAACAGAAUUCCAUUCCACAAAAAAAAAUCUUUCUCGCCUCACAUCAUUCACGAGCACAUAAGGAAAAAGAGCCUAAAACUCAAACAAGCAAUUAAAGAUUAAAUUCUCAACAGCUGAAAACACUGAGCAGUAGUUAUACAUCUAGGAAAUCUGAUAGCCACUGCAUUUUCGAAAUGAAAGAAGAACUUUAAAUCUGGAAAAAAAUCUCUGAUUUAGCUUCAAGUUGUUGGAUCUUCGAAGGUGGUUUUCUGCAAUUGCGGGCCUUGCCGAACUUCUGCCGCAAUUGCUAAAGGAGUUGUUUGCUUGUUGAGUUCGUUUGGGCUGUGCUGUUGAGUUCCAACUUUCUCCUAUUUUGGUAUUUAAUUGGCUUUCUAAAACUGGUUCUUGCGCAACUAGGUAUUUAUUUGAAUUCAUCUUUGUUUUGGCACACAUGAAUUAAUCCUUUUGUUUCUCCAUGAAGUUUCGACUCAUUGUGGUUUUUGCGUAUUUGAAUCAUUUUCGGAGUAGUCUAUUAAUUUCAACUCUAGGAAGAACCACUAGUUGUUAUACCUACUGCUUCUUUGUGAUAACGAAUGCAGACUUCAUAUGAAAACCUUUGUGCAAACACAUUUCCCCAAGCAUAUAACUUUUCUUGCCUUUCAUAUCUUUGCUACACAUAAUUGACGUUUAUGAAAUACAGCAACCAAUGAAAUUUUUUUUGUCCGAAGUGCCAUUUGUGUCCUUUGGUCUAAAUGCUUGACAUUUUUUAUAUGAAUUGUUCAAAUUUUAAUCGUUAAUAUAAAGUGACUUGAGUUAAUUUUGUUCAAGCUAAAAGUGAUAAUACUGUUAAGCUUGCUUACGAAGUUUUGCAUCCAGAUGGUUUAAAUUGAGAUUUGAGCAAAUGAUCUUAGGAGGAAUGGUUUUUUUUUGGUAAACAUAUACAAAUUUAAGUGAAUUGGGUUGGGGUCCAUUUUUCAAUUGUUUGUUUAUCCAAUUACUACAUUCAUAAGCACUGUGGAUGACUCGUAAAAUUUAUGCAAAUAAAGGCUCUUUCUUUGCUGCUUGUUUGGCGUAAUCGCUACAUCUCUUUAUGCACUUAGUUAGUAGAUGAUUUAUUCUAAUAUUUGAGCCUUUUGUUUUAAAUUUGUUAGUUAGCAGCUAGGCCGUGUAGUGUGGUUUCAAGCGCUAGGAUAUUCGGCCAUUUGGACCUGGAUAAUUUAAGUCUUAUUGGCCAACAACCAAUUAGAAUACAUAAGUUAGUCCAUAAUUUCAUAAUUAAUUUACAUCCUUAUCCACAAAUUUAUUCCAUAACACUUGGUCUUACCCCAAAUCUCAAAACCUCAGAAAACUUGAUUCAUAAACCUCGUAGUUUGCUUUAGACGCGAUUAAUAAAUAAAUCAUUGUGACUAUGGAUACGGUUCCCGUGACAUAGUUAUGAUACCUAAUCCCCAAAAUCGGGUAUGCAUCUCAUGUGACCUGAUCAUAACAACUUCGAAUAAUAAUAAAAUAAACAUAUCGUGAAUCACGGGUGCAUUUCAUGUAGCGUGAUUUGCGGUGUCUCCCAAAACAGCAAGUGUACGACAAUCGUAAUUUGUUCAGGAAAUAAUUCCAUAAAUCCUAAAAAUGGUUAAAUAAUUAAUUAAAAGCGGUAAAAGGAAUAAAAUGCAUAAUAGGUUCUAAACAUGUAAUAAUCAGAUAAUUAGGCCAAUUAUUAAUAGUUAAGCAACCGUUCUAGAACCAUGGAACCCGGAAAUGCCUAACACCUUCUCCCAGGUUAACAGAAUUCCUUAUCUAGAAUUUCUGGUUCGAAGACUUUUAAGUAAAGUCGAUUUUCCUCGAUUUUUGAUUUUAAAAAUAAAUCGGUGACUUGGGACACCAAAUAAAUUAUUCCAAGUGGCGACUCUGAAAAAUAAAUAAAAUAAUCUCAUUUCGAUUAAUGUCACUUUAAUUGGAAAAACUUCCUUAUAUCCCCUCUCGGGGUGGUAAAAAGUUGGUGUAGCUCUGGUGACACUGCUGAGGAUAAGAACCCAGAACUUCUGGUUCAGGGUUCAGAAUUCGAGCUUAGAAUACUGUUAUAGUUGGCUUUUAUUUAUUAUCUGAUUUUUACGUGUUUGAGCCUAAUGUGCUAAAUGCUGCUUUUUACUGCUUUGAAAUUGCUUGGACUGUAUAUAAACUUUUACGAAACCCUUUUUCUCUCUGAGUCUUCUAAAUCAUCUGAGAAGUAUGCACUUCGUGUGACUUCUUUUCUGUUAGAAUCAUAUCCCAAUUUUAGAACGAGGUUCGAACAAGUUGCAAAGCCGGUGAAGCUUCUGUAUUCCCGGUACGCUGCCCUCCCUCGGCUCGAGAUGUCCGCUCAGGUAAGCCAGGUCUAGAACAAUACACCCAGGUUUUAAACCUAGUAUAACAUAGCCUCAUGCUGGAUCCCUAGUAGGAACGCUUGUUUGCAUCACGUGCAUUUGACUUUGGGGACUCAACACAGGGGUUGGGUCCGUCUAGGACAGGUGUACCCAAAAAUUAAAAGAUCAUCGUGAUGCAUCUUACGUGCUACUUGUGCAUUUGUUUGAUUCGGCUUGCAUGUUGACCGGCUUCUAGAAUAGGGAAAGAAAAAAGAAAAAAAAAACAAAAGUGAGGUAGGUAUUUGAAAAUCCUGAAACUCUUUCGAAAUUCUGGAAAAAAAAAGAAAAAGAAAAUGUCAUUUCAAAAUGAGCCAAAAUUUUCAAGUGCUAUGUUUCCCUUGUUCCGUUAAAAUUGAUCGAACUACGCGGGUCUAAUUCUCACCGGAUGUGAGAUAAGUAGGCAAACCCCAUCGGUUCCGACCCCAAUUUUAAAAAAUCCAAAUAUAUUUUUCUUUAGAAAUAUUUCCUUAGAAAAUUAAAAAAAAAAAUUAUUUUAAAACUCAAAAAGAAAAAAGUAGUUUCCUUUACUUUGAAGUAUUUUUUCCAAAAAAAUCCAAAAAUAAAAAAAAUCAUCAAAGAAAAAUAUUCCUUUCCUUCUUUAAAAGUCUUUCUUUCGUAUAUGUCAAAAGUAAUUGAAAAAUUGAAGUCCAAAAAUAUUUUCGUUUUUCUUUAGAAAUACUUUUGUAAAUUUAAAAAUAAAACAAAAAAUAAAAACUCAGAAAUCCAAAAAUUUUCUUAAAAGUCCCUUUUUCGAAAAUUAAGAGGCAACAUCCGAAAUCCAAAAAAAAUAUUUUUCUUUCUUCAUUAGAAAAAGAGAAAACAAAUGAAAAUUCAAACAAAAAUAUUUUCCUUUUACUUUUGAAAUUCCCAAAGUUCCAAUCAAAAGAAAAGCAAUUUUUAGAAGUCUUUCUUUAAAAAAUAAAAGAAAAAUCAAAAUAAAAAAUCCAAAAAAAAAUUAUUUUUUUUCUUCUUUUAAAGCAUUUAUUUAAAAAAAAAUCCAAAAGAAAUACAAAAAAAACAUAAAAAAAAAUCAAAAAUCAAAAAUGUUUUUAUUUUGCCUUAAAGCUUUCAUGGUCUAAGUUUUAUAAAAUGUAAAAAAAAGUAAGUUUAUUUACUCCAUUCCCAAUCUUCCCAAACUACGCAAAGAUCUGAUUCAUGCGGCGUCAUGAUAGGUAGGCAAUCCCCAUCGGAUUCGAUCAUAGUUAUAAAAUAAACUGAGUGUAAAAAAUAAAAUGAAAAAAAAGAAAGAAAAAAAUAGAGUGAAAAAAAAAGAAAAAAGAAAAAAGAAAAAGAGACUGACAAAAAAAUAAAAGAGUGACAUAAACAAAAAAGAAAAGAGAGUGCCAAAAAAUAAAAGUGCGGCAAAAACGAGAUGAAAAAAUCUGGAGUGAUUAAAGAGAGGCAAAAAUGAAGAAAAGAGGUAUAUACUGAAAGAGUUAGUUUGGGUCGGGAUGAAACACGCAACCGAUCAAACACAUGGUAGAAACGUUUAACUGUUUAGGUGCAUUGCAUCCAAACGUGCGAUUUCCUAUCUGUUAAGCGUCUCAAAACUAAUAAGGUUGUUGGGUGUGCAAACUAGCCAGGUUUUGGUGGUUGGUUUUGUUGGUAGUCUAGCCUCCCCUUCUUCACAAGAUCCAAAGACACAGAUGACCUCCGCAGGCAAUUUACCAAUCAUCAGUCCUGAGGAUAACCCGACAUCGGCUAUUCUACAGCAAGAUUCAGCAGCUGCUGAAGAGAAUAGGAUGUUGCGUCUCCGCAUAUUGGAAAUGUGGGACGCCUGGUCUAAUGGUAGGGAACCGCCAAGUGCAAUCCCUAGGUUUCCUGAGUUGAUCCCCAGGUCAUAUGAGGUUACCAACGCCCUUGUGCCCAACCUGCUCAUCCCAUGCGGGCACCCUCCAAUGUCGUUCAAUGUUCAUGGCAUGCCUUCUGUGGUUCGCCCCCAGGCGCCAGUUUCUAGGGCACCUCCAAUAUUGUUCUCUGCAGCACCAGUCUGCACUAGAGCACAACCUACUUUACCAUGGCAGUAUAUUGAACCUCCAAUGUUCACCUUUCAGGGUCCACAACUUCAAUCAGAAAUAACAUAUGUGACCCCGUACUCUUUCACUCAACCUCUGCAAUAUGAUCUCUCGAGGGAGCAAGAAAAGGUUGUUAAAUAUCCCGAGCAAGAGGAAAUGGCUCGGAAGAUGAAGAGCCUGGAACAAAUCUUGAAAAACAUGCAAGGUCUGAGUGGCCAAAAGAGUAUCUCAUACUCUGACUUCUGUAUGUUUCCCCAUGUCCACUUGCCAUCUGGCUUCAAGAUGCCAAAAUUUGAAAAGUACGACGGGCAUGGAGACCCGGUCGCUCACUUGAAACGAUACUGUAACCAGUUGAGAGGCGCUAGUGGAAAAGAGGAGCUGCUAAUGGCCAAUUUUGGGGAAAGCCUCACCGGAAUCACUUCUGAGUAGUAUACGGAUCAAGAAAUUAAUCAUUGGAAUGUAUGGGACGAUAUGGCCCGAGAUUUUGUCCGCCAGUUUCAGUAUAAUAUGGAUAUCGCUCCCGACAGAAACUCUUUGUCCAAUUUGAAAAAGAAAACCGCGGAAAGCUUCUGCGAAUAUGCUGUCAAAUGGCAUGAGCAAGCUGCCAGGGUAAAGCCUCUAAUUGACGAAAUUGAAAUGGUCACGCUCUUUCUACAGGCCCAAGAGGCGGAUUACUUCCAAAACAUGAUGUUGGCUAUGGAAAGCCGUUUGCUGAGGCUAUCAAAAUUGUGGAAAUGGUUGAGAAAUGUUUAAAAAUAAGGCGAAUCUUGAGUCAUGCUGCCUUUAAGGCCACAUCACAUGCUGCUCAGAAUGGUUCAGAGGGUUUGAUGAACAGAAAUGGGAGUGAAGAGGGAGCCAUGAUGGUUUCAAGCUCGAGGGGGGCCCGCAGGUCAUUCAACCAAUCUUAUGUGCCUCUUAUGGUCCCACAACAUUAUUAUCCCCUUCAAGAUGCUGCUUAUGCCGUGGCACCGCCUCCUUAUGCGGUGAUAAACGUGCAACCUUACACGCGGCCACCGUAUUAUAUACAAAACCGAGAUCCACCUCCCAGAAAUGCCCAUCCUGACCAAGCUCCAUAUAAUCCUCAACCAAAUGAUCCCCAAUACAAUCCUAGCACAAGAGAGCCUUUUAGAAAUAAUCAGUUCACCCCUAUUGGUGAAUCGUAUUCACGCUUGUUCCAAAAGCUAAUCAAGCUAGAUCUGUUGCAGCUAGUGGCCCCAAACCGGCUGAACACCGAGUCCCUCUUGUAUCGAGCUGAUGCUAUAUGUGAAUACCACUCUGGAGCAGUGUUGUUGGACCCUUAAAAGGGCAGUUGAAGACUUGAUUGAAGUGGAAAGAAUCAUUUUUCAGGAUGAAAAAGCUCCUGCUGUGAUGAACAAUCUAUUGCCGGCUCACAACACUGGGUCAAUAGUCGGAAUGAUUUGUGAAUAUGAUGAAUUUGAUCCGGCACUGAAGGCCAUUGCAGUCAUUCCCGAGACAGAAGAAAAGUCAAAAAAUGGUCGCUAAGCAUGAAAGUUCCCCAUCAGACGGGAGUCUCGGUAGCUAGUCUUGCUAUCCUUUCUGCGUCUGGAUUAUUUCAGGGUGUGAUCCGGAUGUUUUACUUUAUUAUCUUAAUUUCCAAUGUAAACCCUUCUAUCUUCAAAAAUUGAUUUUUUUUUUGAAAAAAUCAAAAAAAAAAAAAUCAAAAAAAUUAAAAAUCAAAUCAAAUUAAUAUUUCAUUGUCUAGGAAUGUCUCUUUUCUUAAUCUUAUCAUUUUUCUUAUUUUCUUUUUAGUUUUGUUAAAUGCAGAUUUUAAUAACAUGACAUGCUUGCGGACUUCAUGCCUAGAUCUUGAAAGCUGUUAGACCCCGAAAUAAUGAAUCAAGAAUUAG
rnacentral:lncRNA from 1 species